UACGGAGGGAGCUAGCGUUAUUCGGAAUUACUGGGCGUAAAGCGCACGUAGGCGGCUUUGUAAGUUAGAGGUGAAAGCCUGGAGCUACAACUCCAGAAUUGCCUUUAAGACUGCAUCGCUUGAAUCCAGGAGAGGUGAGUGGAAUUCCGAGUGUAGAGGUGAAAUUCGUAGAUAUUCGGAAGAACACCCGUGGCGAAGGCGGCUACUCUGGGACGGUACUGACGCUGAGACGCGGAAAGCGUGGGAGUGAACAGGA
rnacentral:rRNA from 1 species